rnacentral:rRNA from 1 species
GAAUCUUGCGCAAUGGGCGAAAGCCUGACGCAGACAUGCCGCGCGUAUGAUGAAGGUCCUAGGAGUGUAAAAUUCUUUCACCGGGGACGAGAAUGACGGUAUCCGGAGAAGAAGACCCGGCUAACUUCGUGCCAGCAGCCGCGGUAAUACGAGGGGGGCUAGCGGUGCUCGGAAUUGCUGGGCGUAAAGGGCGCGUAGGCGGAUCGUUAAGUCCGAGGUGAAAUCCCGGAGCUCAACUUCGGAAUUGCCUUUGAUACUGGCGAUCUUGAGUGUGAGAGAGGUAUGUGGAACUCCGAGUGUAGAGGUGAAAUUCGUAGAUAUUCGGAAGAACACCAGUGGCGAAGGCGACAUACUGGCUCAUUACUGACGCUGAGGCGCGAAAGCGUGGGGAGCAAACA